rnacentral:lncRNA from 1 species
GAAGGAGUCGUCGGACCCCCGGGCCGACUUCCGUGACAGCAUGGUGCAGAUGGUGGUGGAGAUGGGGCUCUGCGACUGGGACGGCCUCCGCUGCAUGCUUCGCCGCCUGCUCGCCCUCAACGCGCCGCGCCACCACGCCGCCAUCCUCGCUGCCUUCGCCGAGGUCUGCGCCCAGCUCGCCUCGGAGCCUCCCCCGCCGCCGCCUCCGGCGUAUCAAUACGACUACUACUACUGACGAGUGACCAGUCACUGGCUCGGCAAGCCGGCCAGGUCGUCCGCUCGUGUUCCGUCUGUUCUGUGUGGGGGGCUGCUCUCGAGAUCCUGGCACCACCUGGUGUACGCAUCCCUAUCUGGGCGAGGUUACCGGGUGGUGAUAGGAUCUCUCGGAAGAUAAUUUAAGCUGCAGUAGAAGAAACUUAGUAGUAGUCGCAGUUUCAUGUGUGGUCAGUCAGCUGUUCGUCUAGCUCUGAUUUGCUGGGUUUCUUUGGGUGUUUUCCUUAAUUUUCGCUCAGUGUUUCAGUGUGUUGUUUCUAGAUUUCUAGUGUCAUAUAAUGUGUGUGCUUGUGUGGCCUUCGGUUUUGCAUGAAGGUCACCAAGGAAGCUAGUUCAUUAAUCAGCUCAAGUAGGCAACUAUUUGUGCCAUAAGUAGUAAUGUGUUGUGAUGUGUUUAUUAUUCAAUAUGCAUUUGGCACUUUCUAGUGUGUGGCGAUCUGUAAUUUUUCGAUGCUUUUUCUUGAAUACUUUUCGGUUUUCUAAGUAGUCUUCACUAAAGAACAAGCAUUGCAUCAGCCGAUGUUUUCUUUUCUCUUGAUUAUACUUAUUACUAGUCCAAGCGCAUAGUUAAGGACCUAGGCUUCAAGUUUCAACUGCCAAAUAUUGGUACUCCCUUGUUUAUAUUUACUUCGCAUAUUAACUUUGUGUAAACUUUAUCAACUUUGUAAAAAAACUACAUUACUCCCUCCCUUCCUAAAUAUAAGUCUUUCUAAAGAUUUCAAUAUGAACUACAUACGGAGCAAAAUGAGUGAAUUUACGCUCUAAACUAUGUCCAUAUACAUCCGUAUGUAGUCCAUAUUGAAAUCUCUAAGAGCAUCUUCAACAGGCGCCCAAAAAUUGCUCCGCGUGCUAAAAUUCAAGGUUUUAGGGCGCCGGACAGCUCCAGCAGAAGUUGUAAAAUAGUGCAGGCGCAAAAAAGGGUUUGGCGCGCGCUGAAAAACGCUAUCGAAAUCUGCAAAUUUGAGGCGCCGGAUUGCGCGCGCUUCACAGUUUACACCGCGUGGUUUUUUGGGUGCGCGUUUUUUGGGCAUCUGCUAAAGCAAUGUUAGGUGCGGCGUGCUAAAAUUGCUACAGUGACGCACUAAAAUUAUUUUAGGGCGCGAAAUUUUUGUGCGACUGUUGGAGAUGCUCUAAGAAAACUUAUAUUUAAAAUAGUGCACCAUAAACAGUCGCAUAGAGAAAGAAGGCACUAACAGUCGCAUAGAGAAAGAAGAGCUUUGAAUAUGUAUGCUUGCCAGUGGCAUGCGUUGUUCUUGGACUUUUGAUGAGGGAGUUAACUAUGCGCUUGGGCGGCCAACGGGUGGAGAUGCUCUUAGAAGGUGUUCCCGAGAGAGCUUUUGCCUUGAAAGAGUCGAGCACGCACGCAUCUGCCGUCCGUGCAGCUACCGGGGGACGCCGUCGAUGACUCAGAUUUUUCAUCGCCAUUGCGCACAUUCAGCGUGCGUGCGUCGGUACGAUGCCGGCCGGUGGCAGUGGUUAAAAUUAUGUCCUACGGGUACAUGCAUGCAUGCAAAAGCAGCAAAUGGAAGUGCUUCUUUCUCCCUCCCUCCCUCCCUCCCUCCCUCCCUCACUUUGUCUUCUCUCUUUACUACUAGUGGUCGAGCUACCUUUUGUAAGUUGUUUGGCAUUUCAUGAUGCUUAAGUCAGCUUUGUGGCCGUUGACUCUGUGAAGAUCGAUCGAUGUGCCAAUGUGCUUACUCAAUGAUACCCACAAAAAAGAAUGCAACGUUCUUCACGGAGUAUCAGUCCAGUGCUUGGUUAUAUUAUACAGUAUAAGUUAUCCGCAAAAUAAAAAUUAAAAAAUUAUACAGUAUACGUAAGUUGGUGCCAAAAAUGCGACCAUUUUCAGCAAAAAAGGCAGCCGCACUACAGAUCCCUGCGUACGUCGUGCGUGUAUGUAUGCCGUGAUUUGUACCAGUGUGCUCAACCUCGCAAGUCGCAAGUGCUACCUACUAGAGUUACGUUGCGUCCACGAUUUCAUAUAUCUGAAGGAGCACUGCUGUACUGAAGAGAGGAUCUAAUGUUGUUUCUAUUUCCUAUCUCGACUCCUCCUUAUCUCCUUAUCUCUACGGGAGUAUCUAUUGGUAAAUGGGCCUGAAGGCUCUUUCGCAGUAUCCACUAGGCUUGCAGGGCUCAUGUAGAUGGAGUUUACUUAUGUCCCAGAAAAAAAUCGGAGCAAAUCGGAGAGCUGAGAAUGGCAAAGCAACCAACAAAAUCCGGGUGUGAGCUCAAGUUGGUCAAGUACAACGGUCUAGUAUACCACGGGCAUGUCUAGCGGAUCCCUUAUAAGUUUUUUAAGCAAGUUGACUGAAUUUACAAUUUGAGUAAGCCGAUUUUGUGGAAGGAGGAACAGGUGGAGGAGGAAGAAGAAAGAAGAACGACCGUCGGAUUUUUAAUCUAUGGUUAUAAAAACUGAUUUACCCAAAAUAAAAUUUCAAGCGGCUAGGGCCAUGGCUCCCCCGUGCUGAACAAAACCCUUAAAUUGCCUUUAUAUAUUAUGUGGAUUUGCAAAGUUAAUGCCUAAAUUUUAAUGUAUGCCCCCCUCAAAUGACCAUACAUGUAUCAUUGCCCCCCCCCCCCUCCCCCUCAUAUGAAGUUCCUGGCUCUGCUCCCGAUAGCUGGUCCCUAAGUUAAUCCGCCUCGUUGCUUGGUUACAUACAUGCUUGAAGGAGGAGCCAGCCCCGGUAUGCCUGGCAGCUGCAUCCAUGGAGGAGGACACUGUCAAGCUUUGGUAUGCUUGUGNNNNNNNNNNNNNNNNNNNNNNNNNNNNNNNNNNNNNNNNNNNNNNNNNNNNNNNNNNNNNNNNNNNNNNNNNNNNNNNNNNNNNNNNNNNNNNNNNNNNACGAUGGCACAUAUGACUCCAUGAGUGACGAGGAGAUGGAAGCUCUUGAGCAAGUGGCCAUGCACCGGCGCGUGAACGAGGAUGAAGAUGAUCAAGUCUUUUGUGAUGAAGAUACGAGCCCCGCUCUCAUUGUCUCAAAGGUCUUGACUCUUCAACACCAACAAGAAGAAGACCAACGAUGCCACAUUGAUAAGGACAUGACUACCUUGGAUAUGACCAAAAAUAUUGCAUAUAUGCAUAUUUGUCAGGUGAUUUCUAGUGCAAACUAUUCAAUAAUCUAUUUAUGUUAUCCAGAACAAAAAUACUUCACACACUUUUGUGUUUUGUCUAAUUGCAGGUGUAUGGGACAUUUGUACAAUCCACAUAUGAAGAUAAGGAAGAAAGAGAUGUUUAUUUGCUGUCCAAAAAGUUCUCUCACGUCACUUUUGGCCCAAGAGAAGAUAGAGUCCAAGUCUCUCACGUUCUGGAUUCAGAUUCGGACUGCACAGACAUACCUGACUCAAAACGCACACAAGUUUUUCAUACAGACUCCGAAUUGGGUGAUUCUUUUUUUAUUGGAAACUAGAUUUCGUGCACUUUCCAACCCAAUUGGAAUCACCUUCAAAUUCGUCCGGAGCGUUGAGUUGUGGACGAAACAACCUGAUGCUGCAGCAGAAUCCGAGUCAAACUACAAGUCCAAAGGUGUUACAUCACCUCCACUUGGGCCCAUUGGCCUUGUACGACCUAGAUUUAGUUUUAGGCUGCCUUGGGACGUCCUCCCACCUCCUUGGCCGCCACCCCUUGCUCCUAUAUAAGUAGAUCCAUCUAGUAGCUUUUCUUUUGGCAUUUGUUUAGUUAAAAGUUAGCCAUUGCAACUUCGUGUACUUUGUUUGUGUCCAACGACCAGACCAAAACCGCUUCCGGAUCCCCACCAUUAUCAAUACUUCAUAUAUAUUUGCAAUAUUCAGAUUGCUUUAUCAUAUUCUUGCUCGUUCUUCGAUUGCUUGCAGGAAUAGACCUUCGUGGUCAGGCUGACCGUGCUUCCAGCAUUGUCAGUAACCUCAGGAGAUUGGUUUAGCGAUUGCUUAGGCGCAACGUCAUGCAUGUUUGUAGUCGGAUCGUCAAAGUCGUCUCCACCAAAUCGAUAGUUAUCAUCUCAUCGAAAGAUCGGGACCCUCGCCUCUAUCACACAUCUUCCACACCAAGGCCGGCAUCAAUGGACGAUCCGUCAAGGUCAUCAUCGACGAAGGUAGUUGCCACAACUUUGCAAGUGAAGAACUAUGCUCCAAGCUUCAAUUGGUCAAGAGGAAGCACCCUCACCCCUACAAGGUUCAAUGGCUAAGUGACUCCGGCACUAUACGAGUUGAGCAUACGGUCCAAGUCUCCUUGAAAAUAGGUGCAUAUGAAGACACUUUGGAGUGUGAUGUGGUCCCAAUGACCGUUUGCCACCUCCUUCUUGGUCGACCAUGGCAAUUCGACCGUGGUGUCUUCCCAACGGGCGUACCAAUCACUAUAGCUUCAAGAUGAAAGGGAAGGAAUAUGUGCUACGACCUAUGCCUCCUAGUCAAGUGAUAGCCGACAAGCACGCCACCAACCAUAGAGAAAAGAGUGAAAAAGAGAUACACCAAAAAGUGAGUGAGAGCCACAAACAAAACUUGAGCGCCUCUUCGCCUAGAGAGAAAAACCUCAUACUAUUUGCCACAAAAAGUGAGAUGAGGGAAGUGUGUGAGAACCCAUCGAGUGUGAUGCACUUUGUCCUAGUGUGCAAGGAUGGAGAACCUAAAACUAACACCCCUCACGAGCUACCUUUAGUGUUUCAAUCUCUUUUGCAGGAAUUUCAAGAUGUUUUCGCCGAUGAGCUACCUCCGGGUCUACCUCCUCUACGAGGCACUGAGUAUCGAAUCGACCUCAUCCCCGGAGCGCCAAGGAGAUUCAACGGCAAGUACAACAACUCAUCGACAACGGUCAUGUACGUGAAAGCUUAAGCCCUUGUGUCGUUCCCGUUAUACUUGUGCCCAAGCAAGAUGGUAUCUAUCGCUUGUGUUUCGAUUGUAGACCCAUAAAUGAUAUUACCGUUCGCUAUAGGCAUCCCAUUCCUCGCUUAGAUGAUAUGCUUGAUGAACUUAGUGGAGCCAACUUUUUCUCAAAAAUUGAUCUUAAAAGCGGCUAUUAUCAAAUCCGCAUUCAAGAGGGUGAUGAAUGGAAAACUGCUUUCAAAACCAAAUUUGGCUUAUAUGAGUGGUUAAUUAUGCCUAUGGGUUUAUAGCAGGCUCCCGGUACUUUCGUGCAUCUCAUGCAUUAUGUGCUUCGCCCUUAUAUUGGAGUCUUUGUUAUGGUUUACUUCGAUGAUAUUCUUGUGUUUAGCAAAACCAUGAAAGAGCAUCUUGGUUCAACCUGGCAGUCGGGUCGGGUAUCACCGGGUCGACCCCAACCAAACCCAUGCCCGAGUUUGCUAUCGGGCAGAGGACUCACCCACGAUCCUACCCAUGGGUUACAACUCGGACCCAUGCCCGAACCCGGCGGGUCACCCGACCCUAUUGGGCACCCAUCGGGCACGCAUGCAAUAGAGCACACAUACAGCAACCUGCUAUAUUUAUAGCCUUCCUGCUGCUCUAUUCCUUGCUACCUUAGCGAGGUGGUACUAAUUCACCUAUGUGAAGCGGAUGCACCAGCGUGAGCGUGUGUGUAGCUAGUCUUAUUUACAUGGUGAUGAGGACAUGACUACCUUGGAUAUGACCAAAGAUAUUGCAUAUAUGCAUAUUUGUCAGGUGAUUUCUAGUGCAAACUAUUCAAUAAUCUAUUUAUGUUAUCCAGAACAAAAAUACUUCACACACUUUUGUGUUUUGUCUAAUUGCAGGUGUAUGGGACAUUUGUACAAUCCACAUAUGAAGAUAAGGAAGAAAGAGAUGUUUAUUUGCUGUCCAAAAAGUUCUCUCACGUCACUUUUGGCCCAAGAGAAGAUAGAGUCCAAGUCUCUCACGUUCUGGAUUCAGAUUCGGACUGCACAGACAUACCUGACUCAAAACGCACACAAGUUUUUCAUACAGACUCCGAAUUGGGUGAUUNNNNNNNNNNNNNNNNNNNNNNNNNNNNNNNNNNNNNNNNNNNNNNNNNNNNNNNNNNNNNNNNNNNNNNNNNNNNNNNNNNNNNNNNNNNNNNNNNNNNGGAGCUGCGCUCCAAAGAAGUUCAAGAAGCCACGGAAGAAAAUACUCGGCGGCAAAGAAAAUCCACGAUCAACAUGGGUGGCCAAGAGCACGCACUCACCCUCUUCUGGCUGGGGCUGCCACUCCUUCCCCGGAAGCCUCACAGCUCCAUGAGGGAUCAAGCCCUCGUUGGCCAUGUCGAGGAGAUCUUUUUCUGUGAUGGUCGACUAGAUCCAGUCUCCUUGGACCCAGCCCUUCGGCAGGCGGGAUCUGGACGAAGACCCACCGCGGCUGGUAGAUCUCCCCUUCGCCUUCUCCGACGCCGACGCCUUCUUCGCACGUUCCAGUGCCGCCGUCUUCUCCUUGGCCAUGGUUGCCGGCGAGAUGCGCGAGGGGAAGUUGUGCGGGGGCAAGAGCGAGCAUGCUGGACGGAGACGAAGGGAGCAGAGAGAGAGAGAAUGCUGAGGCACAGUACGAAAAUCCUCGCCGGGCGCAUUUAUAAGGUCCCUUCCAAGUGGAUGACAGGUGGGCCCAGUCGAUCUAAUCAUAUCCAGGAACAGUUAUGCAGACGGGAUACGUGGCGAAGAAAGCGGCGCGGAGAUCGAGGCGUCUAUGUCCCGUCCCAUCCGAACGCCGCGGUCUGCUCCGCUUCGCGCGCGUCCCCAAAUUUCGCAUCCCGCGGAAUCCGCGAACGGCAGAUCAGUCUGUCAGACGCGGGGUUUCCCGCGAUCCGUCGCUCGGGGAUCGUCGAAGCCCGAAAGAUCACUCGACGAAAGAAGAGAAUGGAUCGAGUCGACUGAAGACAAGUUGCUCACCAUCAACGAAGAGAUUCUUUGGUCCAGAACAACGCACGACCAGAGUGCAAAGGUUAAUCGGAAACGACAUCAACUCCUUCCUCACUCGAAGCCUCAAUCCAUUCGGGGGCUAAUGAUGGGGUCAUGUACCUAGGGUAAGGUCAUGCACCAAACAUACCUUCGGUCUCCUCCUUUGCCUUCGUCAGCUUCUCCUGAACCAGCUUCAAGCUCAGCUCGAGUUGAGUGUGCUUGUUUUCCAGCUCAGAGUAGCGAGCCACAAGAUCACAGGAGUUCUGCGAAGAACCAAUCGACUAAAUGUCAAAUAUAAUUCACUUCCGAGUGAAAAAAAGGAAAAAUCACACGUUUCUAAGACUACAGCCGAAUACAAGCAUUCGACCGUAGUCUCGGGGACUACACCCAGUGGGUGCACUUAGCGUGCCCCCACCGGUUUGUGAAAUCCAGUCGACAUAGUCGACUGACAGAAAGAUUGACAUCAUAAAGCCUAAGGCCGACUGCCAGCAGUCGACCUUAGCCUUGGGGACUACACCCAGUGGGUGCACUCAGCGUGCCCCCGCUAACACGGAGUUUAAUCGACACACUCGGCAUAGUCGACUGACAGAAAGAUUGACAUCAUAAAGCCUAAGGCCGACUGCCAGCAGUCGACCUUAGCCUUGGGGACUACACCCAGCGGGUGCACUCAUCGUGCCCCCGCUAACACGGAGUUUAAUCGACACACCCAGUGGGUGACUACUAUAAAUUCCGGAAAGGAAAAGUUUUUGGUAGCAUAUCCAAUAGAACAAACGGUGGUCGACUGACCUGAACAUUGCUUUGGAGGGCAGAACUGGCGUCAUAAGCUGCCUGGCUCGCAUCUCGGAUGGUCUUCAACUGCUCCAUCAUGAUUCCCGCCUGGCGUAUUGCCUCCUUCGCCGCGCCAGCUUGGUCCUCUGGGACGUGGUGCGUCGUGAAGAGGGAGGGCUGCUGAGCACUCGUCAAUGGAUCUGCGAAGGACACCGUGUGUCGAGUGGUGUUCUCUUCCUCCACAAUCAGAAUCUCAGGCGCCGUCACAUCCUGGGGCACCUUGCUGGCAGACGCUUUCCUACUCCUUCUGCGCUUCAGCGAUUCCUCAUCCUCAUCAUCAUCAGGGAGAUUGAUAACAGCGUUGGGUGGAGCUACGGAGAAGAAUCAGGAUCAGAGAUCGCGAGUCAGUUGACUAAAAACGGCGUUAAGAAUAUAGUACCUGGUUUUGAAGUUGCUGCGUCCUCCAUCUCAUGGUCAUCAGCCCGGGCUGAGGUCUCAGAAGUAGCAGCACUGCAACUCCAAAGAAUCAGUCGACUAACUUCAGCGUCAAUCAGAGACAAAGUUCACACAAAAUAAGAAGACUUAAGCAGCACGAUUACCCUGAUAUGGUGGGGAUGGACACCUUCAUCUUCGGCAGGAGCUUGAUCGGCUUCGACGAGGCCGCCCUGGGCUGCUUCGGCGCCUUUUCAGUCGGCACUGGAGAGGUGGUCCGAGGGCGUUUGGUCGACUAAGCGGCGGUCGCAACCCCCUUACCACGUUCAGUCGAAGGGUCGUGGACAAGCUUCGACCGCCUUUCCGAGCGCGGUGGUACGACCUCCUCCUCCUCUUCUUCCUCGUCUUCAACGUCAUCUUCAUCACCGUCAUCAGCGUCAUCGUCAUCAUCAUCCUCUGCAACGUCCGAGUCCCAUUCCUCCUCUUCCUGGCUCUCGCCCCCACUCGCCUCACCCUCCUCAGUCGGAGCUUGUGCCCCAUUGGGCAUCGAGUACAGCUCGGUGAGGGCCUAGCAGAUAUCAAGACAAGGAUCAAUCGACCAGUCGACAGGAUAAAUAGAAAUGAAUGUGACAAGAACACAGUGGAGAGCAGGGCAAGCGUACCUUGUUUGGAUCGCUGUUGUGGUCGAGUGGAGGAAUCCUUCUGGCUCCGCGUGGGUUAUCCUUGUUUCCGGUAACGGCUACCAUCCAUCUUUCCAGAGUGACAUCGUCGACUGCUUCUGGAUGGACUCGAGUCUCGUCUUCAGUCCCACAGUACAACCACAUGCAGUGGCUCCGGAACUGGAGGGGCUGGAUGCGACGCCUAAGGAAGACCUCCAGGAGAUCCAUGCCCGUCACUCCCUCCCGAACCAACUGCACCACGCGCUCCAUCAACAUCUUCACGUCAGCUUUCUCCUCCGGAAUCAACUUUAGAGAGGAGGGCUUGUUCACUCGGUCCAUGGUAAACUGAGGGAGUCCACUCGACUGCCCCGGCGUCGACUGGUNNNNNNNNNNNNNNNNNNNNNNNNNNNNNNNNNNNNNNNNNNNNNNNNNNNNNNNNNNNNNNNNNNNNNNNNNNNNNNNNNNNNNNNNNNNNNNNNNNNNUUUUUUGGCCCAAGCGAUUCCAAUUUUUUGGCUUCCGCGGAAAUAACUACCUCCCCGCCCCCUCCCCCUUACCAAAAGCCACAUUUCCCCUCUUUCCGCCUUCCUUUCCAAGUUGAAACCUUCACUCCUUGCUUGCAGCGCUGCCGCCUCCUCGCCGGCGACCCUCCUUCAUGCGGCUCGGCCUCGCCUAUCCAGGCAGGUAAUCCACACCCGACCCCCAUCCUCCUCCUCCUUCACAUCCCACAUGCCCCGAUCGCCGGCACGAGCACGACACCUUCCACCCAAAUCACCGACCCCUCCACCAAAUAAGCACUGACCUCAGCCAUGGUGCACGCAGUAUAGCCAGGACCUCAAGGAGCAUUAGGCAGCGGAGAAUCAAAUCACGGACGCACGCGCGGAUGAGGUCGCGAUGGCUUCCAUUCGUGCCGACCCCCAGAUCUUAGAGGAGCACCUCGCCGUCAAGGCCACCGUUGACGCCUCACAUGCCGACGUGGUUGGCUGCUUUAAAGGACAGUUCGUGGCAUUUUCUCGAGGCCACCGUCGGUGCCUUCGACAAAGACUACGAGGUGUUUUCUCAGCAUGCACGUGCUUACCUCAUCUCGAGAGCCAGAAGGUUGGUGCCCGGUGGGGCUCAGGCAACUUACCACUACCACGAGGGCACCCACGAUGCGGAGGCCUCGCCCUCUUCCAUGUCUAAGGAGCCAAUCGUCAUCGAUAUCUCUGACAAUGAGGAGUAGCUUGUCUUAUUAGCUCACUAUAAGGACCCAUGUUCAGUUUGCUAGCUACUUCCUUUCCUUAACAAAUUCUAGUGAAUUGUGCUAUCUACAUUCACCAUGCAAUCUUCUGCUAUAGUGUAUAUGUUCUAUAUGUCGUGCAAUCUGGUGUUCAAUUAACUGCUUGGUUCAGUUAUGCAAAUGUGAUGUUCAAUUCUUUAGGGUGCAAUAUUUCCAAGUUGUUAACCAUGCUUGGUUUGGUUAACUGUCUGAUCUUCUAUUAUGAGUAUGUUAUAUUCUUCAAUUGGUGUUUACUUAACUGCUUGGUUUAUUUGUUGUGGCUUGGUUCACUUGUUGUGGUGUUUAGUUAACUGCUUGGUUCAAUUCUGUAAUGCGAUGUUCAAUUGUUGUGACUGCAUUCUGUUAUUGUAUACCAUGUGAGGAAUAAAUCAAAUUUGGUUGUACUAUAUACAUGAGAAAUAAAUACAAUUCCUAUGUUUCCAAGUUGUUAAGCAUGCUUGGUUUGGUUAACUGUCUGAUCUUCUAUUAGGAGAAUCUUAUAGUGUGCAAUGUGGUGCUCAGUUAACGUUUGGUUCAUUUGUUGUGGUGUUUAGUUAACUGCUUGGUUUAAUUCUGUAAUGCGAUGUUCAAUUGUUGUGGCUGCAUUCUCUUAUGGGCCAUUUGCAUUUCUGUCCCUAACUCGAACCACCUAAUCAGAUAUACCCCUAAUUCGAAAGCCUUCUCAAAAAUGCCCCUCCGCCGUUAGGUGCCCUUACAUAAAUGCCCUUCUGCGUCGUUACCGUCCGGUCAAAAAGCUUUGACCGUCCUAAAAAAAUAGCAAAAAAAUCUAAAAAACCUAAAAUUUUGUGAGAUCGUAAUUACUCAUGUGCGCAAGGUGCGUGCAAAGUUUCUUGCUAGUUGGACAUUCCAGGAGCUCGUGGCGAGGAAAAUUAGUUAAUCUGUACUCUUGUGAACAGUAAAUUUGAAAUAAAAUAGCAAGAAAAUUCAAUAAAAUAUGAAAUUUUUGGCAUCAAAGAGGCUUGGGUGGACAAGGUGCUUGCAAGUUUUUGUGAUUAAAUGACAUGCGAGAGCUCUAGCAAAAAAAACCAAAACAGUCAUCUUUUCCAAAGUUUUUUCCUGAGCCAAAUUUUGUUUUUCCUCCAGGAGCUCCUACAGUGUCCAAACACAACAAAAAUUUGCACGCACCUUGCAGACCCGAGCCUCUUUGAUGCCAAAAAUUUUCAUAUUUUUUUCAAUUUUCUUGAUUUUUUUUUUUGAAUUUACUGUUCACAAGCAUAUAUAUUUACUGUUUUUUCUUUGCCACGACCUCCUGGAAUGUCCAAACAGCACGAAAAUUUGCACGCAUCUUGUGCACCUGAGUGUCUUUGAUCCCACAAAAUUUCAGAUUUUUUACAUUUUUUUUGGUAUUUUUUUCAGGACGGUCAAAGCCCUUUGACCGGCUUUGAUUGGCUUUGACCGGACGGUAACAGCGCGGAAGGGCAUUUCUGUAAGGGCACCUAACGGCGGAGGGGCAUUUUUGAGCAGGCUUUCCAAUUAGGGGCAAAUCUGAGUAGUGGGUUCGAGUUAGGGACACAGAUGUAAAAGACCCUUCUCUUAUUGUAUACCAUGUGAGGAAUAAAUCGAAUUUGGCUGCACUUAAUACGUGAGAAACAUAUACAAGUGCUAUAUUUCCUAGUUCUUAAUCAUGCUUGGUUUGGAUAAAUGGGUUUUCCAUGUGGCUUGAAUUAAUCUGAUGAAUCUGCAAUGUGCGUAUUUAUCAUCAACAUAUUUUACUCAUAGCAUGCGAACCCUUACUUAACCAGAUGACUAACUACCUUAUAUGUGUUGCAGGGAAACAAUGGGGAGCACUGAGGUUUACAAGAUGGUACUAACUAUUAUACCUUGCCUUUUUGUAUUCCUUUGCACCAUUUCCAAUAUAGAGAAGAUAUUUAUGCACAUCCUUGUUUUCAGGCUUCACUGAUGAUUACCUCUCAAACCACCUCUGUGGUCAGGAGGCGAGGAAAGUUUUCUGUCGGUGUACAAAAGUAGGGGCCCCUUUUUGCACCCCUUUACUUGUGCGUGGGCAGUCGCAGCCCCACGCCCCUGGCCACCCUUGGCGGGGCAGAGGAAGCAAAACCACAAGACAACCAGACCAACGCCAAGACAGAAAUGCAAAGAGCAGAGGGGCGAGGUGGACUCCCCCGGCAAGGCCCUUGCCGGGGCGACCUCCACAGCCCCGGCAAGAGCCUUGCCGGGGCAACUUGCCCGGCUCCAGCAGAGCCGCCACCCUUGAGCCCAAGAGUUCCAACACCAUCAACCACAUUGGAACCANNNNNNNNNNNNNNNNNNNNNNNNNNNNNNNNNNNNNNNNNNNNNNNNNNNNNNNNNNNNNNNNNNNNNNNNNNNNNNNNNNNNNNNNNNNNNNNNNNNNUUAUUGUAUACUAUUAUACCUUGCCUUUUUUAUUCCUUUGCCCCAUUUCUAAUAUAGAGAAGAUAUUUAUGCACAUCCUUGUUUUCAGGCCUUUCCAAAGCAGUUCACUGAUGAUUACCUCUCAAACCACCUCUAUGGUCAGGAGGCGAGGAAAGUUUCCAUACAACACCCACGGUUCAAUAUUGAAGUGUUCCUGAAGAGGACGAAGGAUGAAUGGUCAAUCAUCCACAGGCACUGGCCUAAAGUUGCAAAGACAUUCAACAUCAAUGAAGGCUCAAUAUUCGCCUUCCGCUUCAGCAGUUUUCUAGAUGAGAUGCAUCUGUCUAUGUACCGUCUAUGAAGCUAAUUUCAAAAGGUUCUAGAUGUUGCAUGUGAAACUCGGUACUAGUGUGGUUGUGUAAUUGGGUAGCUGAGUGCUGAAGCUAUAUCAUGUUGUACUCGGAUGUAUUUCAAUUAUGAAAUCCUGCUUCCUUAAUAUAGAAAUGAAAUAUAUUAUGUGCUUAAUAUGAAUGUCAAUUAGAUUAAUAAAUAGAUUAUUAAUAAUAGGGAAAUUAGCCUGCUAAUAGGCCAAUUAGCCUGCUAAUUGGGUUUUGCUAUUGCAAACGGUUAUUUAGAAAACACCGUCGACGAUGACCUCAGGCAACGCACACAGUUUCUAGGAAUAAAUCGUGUUGGAUCAAUGAACAAUCACAUAUGACAUUCUCUUGAAAACUGUUUGCGUUACGCCACCUUGCGCAAACAUUUUCCUUGGAGUGACUGUGGGUGAUGUAUAUACGAAUGGAAUUGUUUAGUGGGGACUGACUGUGUGGGAUGUACUUACGACCAAAAAUGAUUUCGCCUGUAUAAUUCUAAUUUUUUAGCACUAUUGUAUGUAUAACUAUAUUUUGUUGCUCGCCAGUCGCACACGAUCUCAUUUUGCCGAGGGUGUGUGCCAGGAGGGCAUAUCCCCGAUGAUUUAUGGGUCGUGUGAGAAGGACCCCUCUAUCGCAGUCACUCGCUAGGUGACGGUUCCGAACGCCAUCGUGGAAAGGGGUUAAAAACCAUUUGUAUAACACCGAGGCGUACCAGUGUAAGUGGACUUGCCUAAAGGCUCCCAUACGUGACCCUUCCUAAAAAGAUGAUGAAUUGUAGUUGCAAGGUUGACUGCGAACAUAGUUUGUUGGUUUCCAAUAGAGUUUAUGCUUUAUACUUCAACGUUGUUAUAAUAAGUUUCAUCAUGCUGCUAUGUCCGUUUUUUUGACUUUAUCGACACCUCUCUCUCUAAGCAUGUGGACAUGUUUUUCGAUUUCGGUUUUUCGCUUGAGGACAAGCAAGGUAUAAGCUUGGGGAGUUGAUACGACCAUUUUGCAUCAUGUUUACCUAUUGUUAUUUAUGUUAUUUUAUUGCAUAAUAAUGCUAUUUGGAGUAAUUCUAAUGCAUUUUCUCUCAUAAUAUGCAAGGUAUGCACAAAGGGGGAGAAUUCUGGCAGCUGGAAAUCUGGACCUGAAAAAGCUACGUCCGGCCACCUAUUCUGCACAACUCCAAAUGAGUUGAAACUUUAUGAGGAUUUUUUAUGGAAUAAAUAAGAAUUUUUGGAGUCAAUAACUACCAGAGGGGGGGCCACCAGGUGGGCACAACCCACCUGGGCGCGCCAGGGAGCCCAGGCGCGCCUUGGUGGGUUGUGCUCACCCAGGCCCACCUCCGGUGCCCCCCUUCUGGUACAUAAGUCAUUUUGACCUAGAAAAAAAAA